UGGGGAAUUUUGGACAAUGGGCGAAAGCCUGAUCCAGCAAUGCCGCGUGUGUGAAGAAGGCCUUCGGGUUGUAAAGCACUUUUGUCCGGAAAGAAAUCCUUGGCUCUAAUACAGUCGGGGGAUGACGGUACCGGAAGAAUAAGCACCGGCUAACUACGUGCCAGCAGCCGCGGUAAUACGUAGGGUGCAAGCGUUAAUCGGAAUUACUGGGCGUAAAGCGUGCGCAGGCGGUUUGCUAAGACCGAUGUGAAAUCCCCGGGCUCAACCUGGGAACUGCAUUGGUGACUGGCAGGCUAGAGUAUGGCAGAGGAGGGUAGAAUUCCACGUGUAGCAGUGAAAUGCGUAGAGAUGUGGAGGAAUACCGAUGGCGAAGGCAGCCCCCUGGGCCAAAUACUGACGCUCAUGCACGAAAGCCGUGGGGGAGCAAACAGGAUUAGAUACCCUGGUAGUCCACGCCCUAAACGAUGUCAACUAGUUGUUGGGGACUUCAUUUCCUUAGUAACGUAGCUAACGCGU
rnacentral:rRNA from 1 species